UACGUAGGGGGCAAGCGUUGUUCGGAUUCAUUGGGCGUAAAGGGUGCGUAGGCGGCGCGGUAAGUCGGGUGUGAAAUCUCGGAGCUUAACUCCGAAACUGCAUUCGAUACUGCCGUGCUUGAGGACUGGAGAGGAGACUGGAAUUUACGGUGUAGCAGUGAAAUGCGUAGAGAUCGUAAGGAAGACCAGUGGCGAAGGCGGGUCUCUGGACAGUUCCUGACACUGAGGCACGAAGGCCAGGGGAGCAAACAGG
rnacentral:rRNA from 1 species